CCUACGGGUGGCAGCAGUGAGGAAUAUUGGUCAAUGGGCGCGAGCCUGAACCAGCCAAGUAGCGUGAAGGAUGACUGCCCUACGGGUUGUAAACUUCUUUUGUAAAGGAAUAAAGUGAGGCACGUGUGCCUUUAUGUGUGUACUUUAUGAAUAAGGAUCGGCUAACUCCGUGCCAGCAGCCGCGGUAAUACGGAGGAUCCGAGCGUUAUCCGGAUUUAUUGGGUUUAAAGGGAGCGUAGAUGGGUUUGUAAGUCAGUUGUGAAAGUUUGCGGCUCAACCAUAAAAUUGCAAUUGAUACUGGCAGCCUUGAGUACAGGUGAGGUAGGCGGAAUUCGUGGUGUAGCGGUGAAAUGCUUAGAUAUCACGAAGAACUCCGAUUGCGAAGGCAGCUUACUAAACUGCCACUGACAUUGAGGCUCGAAAGUGUGGGUAUCAAACAGGAUUAGAUACCCUAGUAGUC
rnacentral:rRNA from 1 species